ensembl:lncRNA
GUAAGGCUGGCUCCCGCUUGAGAGAAACUAGCUUUUGUUUUUCCAGUGUCCGAAGCACUACAAAGUCUAGUAAAUUCGUUAACACUAGACAGUUUACAGUCUUCGUUUAGUACGUUUAGUAAUGUACUAAAUCCUUUAUUCUCUGCGUUCGCCUGAUCUGUCAAUCCUGUGGUUAAAUAUUAGGGGAACACCGAUGUUUUUGCUGUUCCCUUCAAGGGACAUUGUCUUUCCUUUAAAAGGCGCUGGGUUCGGGAUUUAGAGUUCUCACUGGCGAGCUUCUCUUAGAUUGUGCUGGAAGCUCAGCGGCACCCUGGCAGAGUUUGUGAUCUUGUAGGGAAUAGUAUCGGACAGAAAUGGUUCAUUAAUUCAUCCAAGAAGUAACUACUGAGUACCUGCUCGGAGUCAAGUGCUGUUCUAAGGCCCUGAGGAUACAGUCCUAACCUUCAUGGAAAUUAGAAUCCACAGGGAAGGGAAGAGAGAGUAAAUACGUGAAUAUAUAAUAUGUCGAAUGGUGCUAAAUGAAACUUUUUGGGAAAAGCACGGUGAGCUGGAAAGCUACUGGACAAUGUUAAGGACAAAGUAAAAUUAUUCUCAACCAUAAAAAAGAAUGAAAUAACGCCAUUUUCUGCAACAUGGAUGGACCAAGAGAUUGUCAUACUGAGUGAAGACUUCCCUGGCUCAGAAGGUAAAGAAUCUGCCUACGAUGCAGGAGACCCACAUUCAAUCCCUGGGUCAGGAAGAUCCCAUGGAGAAGGGCAUGGCAACCCACUGCAGUAUUCUUACCUAGAGAAUUCCAUGGACAGAGAAACCUGGCAGGCUACAGGCAAUGGGGUUGCAAAGAGUUGGACACAACUGAGUGAAUAAAACUUUUUCUCCUCCAUAGGAG